ACAGUUUAUUAAAUAACAGAUAAGCACCUCUGUCCUUUGGGAUCUGGUGCCUGGUACUGGCACAGUGGGACCCACAUCACUGAUUAUUCUCUUUCACAACCAACACUGUUUAGGCCCCAGGAAACAAUCUCUACAUGUGGCACUCGACUCUGAAAACAACAGGUCAAAUGUCCUGAUACUUCGUGGAUGAUGCCACCGCAGACAUAGGAGACAGACACUGCUUCAAGAGAGGAUUUGAGUGAACUUGGAGGACAUUUGAAAAUGACCAAAAAAUAUAAUGAGAAGAAAUUAGCCUGACUAGGGUGGGAGCAGGAAGAAGAAAUGUAUCUUCUUUGAAAGAGCCUUGCAAACAAGAAAACGGGCCAGGGACAAAGUGCAGGAGGAGAGGCUAUCACAAUGGCUCAGAGGCUUGAAAAGAGCUCAGGGUCAGACCAUGUUCUCUGAUAUGGGACAGGCAGAGCCCCGUGAAUGAGGUAGGCGAGGGUGCGUGGGACACUCGGCAGCGGCCCAAUCUCUAUCUGCAAAGAGCCUGUGGAGGAAGGGGAGGUGCUGGGGGGAGCUGACUUGGGGGUCACACAGCCCCCACUGGGCUCCCCUAGGGUGGGAGCCAGGGUCUCUGUGAGGCACCAGGAGACGGGACUGGGGCCAGCAGGCACAAGUGCUGGGAGGAGGACUUCAGCUCAGAGAAGGAGCAGAUCUCCACUAGGGGGCAGGAGGGGACCACAGAUGCUAAACAGCCGGCCAUUCAGGGUUACCCUGGCCAGAAUUCUCCCUUAAGCCUCAGCUUCCAGAGCUACAAAUCAGAGCUAAAUAAACCCUCCUUCCACUGGGGGUGGCGGAGGUCACGUGUGUGUGUGCACGCAUGUGUGAACGUGUGUCAGAGACCAGCAGCCGCUCACCCAAUCCAUUUCUUCUGCCUGGACAGACUACAUCUUCAGCCUUAUUUGUGCUCUAGCCAACGGGAUGGAAGUGGAGCGAUGCUAGCCCCAUAGAGGCCUGGCCCAGAGACCCUCCUGCACAAUUCUCUACACUCUCUUUCCCCGGUGGUGCCUCCCCCUGGUGUGGAGUGACCUUGGGAGCCACGUGUGGGAGAGGAAGAGGGCAGAGCCCCUGGCAGGUAGCCAAGGUCUCUCAUCAACAAGCCAAUUAACUUUUACGUGCACGAGAAAUAAGCCUCUAUUCUACCGCCAAUGCAGAGUGGGUAGGAGGUGCUUGAUAAACGGAGCCACUUUCCUUCAUCAUGUUAAGGAUGUUGCAGGUCAGCGCUCUCCUGUGCGGCAUCACUGGCUUCUAGGGAUGGAAGGAAACGCUUCCCUUCUCCAGCCGCACUGGAUCCUGAGUGUUCCCCUCUCUUUCCACUGACCUCCCCGGACAGAUGGUAAGGGGCUCAUCCAUGCUGUCCUCCACCCUAGACUGUGAGCCCUCUGAAAGUCAAGGCUGUGACUGGCCAUCCAUCUGUCUCAGCAUCCAGCACAGGGAACAAACCGAAAUGUUCAUAGGAGGUUUGAGCUGGGGGCAGUAAGUUCCCUGUCAUGUGAAGGAGGCAAGGCUGCAAAGGGGGCUCCUGACCGAGGCUGGACUAGAGGACAUGGGACUCCCUUCUCAGCCUGGAGUCUUACAGCUGAGUUAACCACAGGGCAGGUUCUUAGCAGAGCCCCACGAGCUAACCAUGAGCUUCUUACUCCUGAAGAAACGUGGGGAUGAGCACUGGGAAGCUGCUGCGGGCUCUGGGCCCAGGCAAGCUUCUCCCCCUGACUCCAGCCAGCAAGAGCUUGGAGACUCUGAGAGGCCUCCGGAGAAAGCUCAAGGGUUCAGGGCCUGUUUCUGGCCUUGCUCUGCCUGCACUGGCCAUGGGACCUUGGACUCACUGCCCAUUCUGAGUUUCAGUACAAACCCCCAUUUGUGGAUGCGAGAUGCCACCAAGACCAGGACUCUGAAAUGCUCCAUGCAGGCCACAUGGAAGGCACUGACCACAUGUGGGCCAUUAUCUAUUUGCGUUUCUCCCAGGAAGGGAUCCCACAUGGGGAGAGCCCCUGGAGAUACCUCUGGCCUGAGUGCUCCACUGGUGUCCAUCCACGUCUGGAAAGCUGCCCCAAGAUCAUCUUGUUGCUGGGCAAGGAAAAGACAGGGUAUGUAUCGUGGCCCCCCAGGGUUCUCCACACCCAUCAAGUGGGAGCCCCAGGGCCACAUUCCCUGGCAGGAUCUUGGCCAAGUCAUAUGCCCUCUGCAGAACUCUCGGUCCUUCCUCUCUUUGCAGACAGUCAAAGCUGACCCUGCCAUUCCCUUUCCCCAGGUACUAAUAGCUCCCCAUGGCCCUCAGGAUUAAGUUCAGACUCCUCAACAUGGUUAUAAGACCCAGUUUGAACACUGUGGUCUUGAGCCAUGUCUCCUUCCUCUCCCUCAUAUGUGCUCUGGCACCAGCCGCACUAUAGUACUUCUAAGUUCCUAAACGCCAUGAUCCAUCUGGCCAUGGGGCCUUUGCACAUGCUGUUCUCAUUGCCUGGAGGACCUCUCCCUCCCUUCAAUGCACCAUCUGGCUAUCUCCUAUACCAGUGGUUCUCAAGGAGAGGCGACAAUGCCCCCCAGGGGAUAUUUGGCAAUAUCUGGAGACAGUUUAGUUGUUCAAGCCGGGGGAGGGGGUACUACUUGUAUCUGGUGGUUAGAGGCCAGGAAUUCUGCUAAACAUCCUCCAGGACAGUCACUCACAGCAAAGAAUUAUGCAAAUGUCAGUUGCACUGUGUCUCAGAAAACCUGCCCUAGACUCAUCCUAUAGAUGUCAGUUGUGAUGGGAAGCCUCUCCCGAAGCUUCUGACUCCAGGCUAAGAUGAGGGAGGCCCCCUUUCUCUAUGCCCCCAGUCCCCGUGUUUCUCCUUUGGCUCGCACUUUAAUAGUCUAAUAUAACUUUGCACUCCCAACCCUACCACUGGGCUUGGCAGAGACAUAGCCGUGGUCUUGCCAUGAAAACAGCAAAAGCUGAGGCCUGGGGUCCAGAACGGGGGACUCUGGGGCUACUCCUCAGGGUCAAAUUCCAGACCUGCCACUUACUAACUGCAUAAUCUGGGGAAAGCUGCUUAACUCUUUCUCAGUUCUUUCAUCUUGAAAAUGGACCUGAUAAUAAAACUUCCUCACAAGAACUGCUGAAAGGAACACAUGAGUGAAUACAUGAAAAGCACCUGUAGCCCGGCCACGGUGGCUCACCCCUGUAAUCCCAGCACUUUGGGAGGCCGAGGCGGGUGUAUGGCUUGAGGUCAGGAG